rnacentral:lncRNA from 1 species
GUCUCCUUAAUGGGAUAGGUGCCCUCUAAGAAUAUAGAAACUUAGAUGUCCUAUGAUUUCUCUACAAAUAGAUAUACAAAGGAAUUGAGUGAGGCACCUAGCCUAGUUAAUAAUGCUAUUAGGUGAAUCCAUUAUAGAGUUUGUUAAUCAAAUCAGGCAUACAUCCAUGCUCACUACAUCACAUAAUUAAGGCAUUACAGCUUAAAAUAACCAUAUGAUUACAAAUUAAUCAUGGAUUUUUUAAAUAUUCAUUCAGAUAACAAUUUAGCCUGUAUCAUAUAAUAAAUCAAAAUAAAAUC